rnacentral:lncRNA from 1 species
AGAGCCGCUGGUGCUUCCCAGGCCGUCGCGCUCCUGGCCGCGCACCCAGCCAGGGACCCAGAGGCCCUCAGCCCCGGGCUCUGCGCGUACACUGAGGGCGCGGCGCAGCAGGACAGCAAGAUAAGGAAGCAGAGACUGAAGGGAGGAAUCCCCGCUUUCCGGGGAUGAUGGCGUUCGAGUUGGGUCUGUGAGGGAUGAAAUAGGAGUUGGCCAGAGGGAGAGAGGGACUCUAGGCCUCGAGAAGAGCACGUGCAGAGGUUCCGUGACACGAAAACGCCAGAACUGGCGGACUCUUGGGUGCUUGGAGACACUAUAUAAAUAAGGAACUCUGGCUGUGUGCAUGGGAGAGUAUAUUAACAGGGCUUGGCCUGGCUGUGAGGUGCAGAGAUGCCGUUUCUCUCAGGCUGGGAACUUCAGGAAAGCCAGGACCAAGUCAAUCUUGAUCUAGGCUCUGUCUUCAGCAUCUAGAACCAGGCUUGGCACCAACUGAGUAGGUAAUCCGUAAAUAAAUUGCUGUUGCUGUGUAUCAAAAAGAAAAAACCAAAGUUUGCAUGGUCCAGUGCUUAGAAGUUUUGAAAUAAAAAAUGUAGCUAUUUUUUG